CACUAUGAAGCUAAAUUUAGGGGAACAGCGUUAGCCUUUUAAGCUGAAGAGUGGCGGCUCCCAACCGCCCAUAGUGG
rnacentral:tRNA from 1 species